rnacentral:rRNA from 1 species
UAGGGAAUCUUCCGCAAUGGACGCAAGUCUGACGGAGCAACGCCGCGUGAGUGAAGAAGGAUUUCGGUUCGUAAAACUCUGUUGUUAGAGAAGAACAGCGCAUAGAGUAACUGUUAUGCGUGUGACGGUAUCUAACCAGAAAGCCACGGCUAACUACGUGCCAGCAGCCGCGGUAAUACGUAGGUGGCAAGCGUUGUCCGGAUUUAUUGGGCGUAAAGCGAGCGCAGGCGGUCAAUUAAGUCUGAUGUGAAAGCCCCCGGCUCAACCGGGGAGGGUUAUUGGAAACUGGUUGACUUGAGUGCAGAAGAGGAGGGUGGAAUUCCAUGUGUAGCGGUGAAGUGCGUAGUUAUAUGGUGGAACACCAGUGGCGAAGGCGACUCUCUGGUCUGUAACGGACGCGGAGGCUCGAAAGCGUGGGUAGCAAACAGG